AUCCUUUGCUGGACAAAAUCCCUUGGUGGGAACUUAGCUGUUGACUUCUUUCUUUCAUGAACAUUUUGGGUGAGCCAGCUGAAGCCCAGAGAGGGUCACGUGCCUAUCUGCAGCCACCCAGCUGGCCUCUUAGCAGAGAAGUAAAUAAGCAAUGAAAGUAACCAAAAUUCAAGUAGAGAAAUAAAGGAUGACAGAGACUGACUAGUUCACAAGUUGAAUUAUCAAUUUCAGAAUCACCUCAAAAUCUUUGUUGCUUUGGCUAAAGAUCUGAUGCUUCAAAUAUUAAGUGAACUAUCAUGUUAACAACAACAACAGUAAUA